AUUGAACGCUGGCGGCAUGCUUUACACAUGCAAGUCGAACGGCAGCGCGGGCUUCGGCCUGGCGGCGAGUGGCGAACGGGUGAGUAAUACAUCGGAACGUGCCCAGUAGUGGGGGAUAGCUCGGCGAAAGCCGGAUUAAUACCGCAUACGACCUGAGGGUGAAAGCGGGGGAUCUUCGGACCUCGCGCUCUUGGAGCGGCCGAUGGCAGAUUAGCUAGUUGGUGGGGUAAAGGCCUACCAAGGCGACGAUCUGUAGCUGGUCUGAGAGGACGACCAGCCACACUGGGACUGAGACACGGCCCAGACUCCUACGGGAGGCAGCAGGGGGGAAUUUUGGACAAUGGGCGAAAGCCUGAUCCAGCAAUGCCGCGUGUGUGAUGAAGGCCUUCGGGUUGUAAAGCACUUUUGGCGGGAACGAAAAGGACUGUGCCAAUACCACGGUUCGAUGACGGUACCCGCAGAAUAAGCACCGGCUAACUACGUG
rnacentral:rRNA from 1 species